rnacentral:SRP_RNA from 1 species
AUAAUUGCAUCGGGCAGCCUGUUGCAGCUGCCCCCGGCAAGCAGCGAUGAAGUUUGGGUCUUGCGCAAUGGAAAUCUGUGAACCGUGUCAGGUUGGGAACAAAGCAGCACUAAACAGAACCUUUCAUGUGACGUGAGGAAGCCUGGCGGAGCCGGCUGCCGGGGUAACGUGCAGCAGGCUGUCCGGUGCAAU